AGACCUACAGUCCCCUCCUGCCCUACUAGUCCGUGUUAACAUAUAGCUCUGGGCAGCCACUGACUGGUGCUCUAACGGCAGCAGGGAGCAGUCGCUUGUCCUUAACUGUGCUGUGGCUGUUUGAACUAGUGUGUGGCUCUGACCUAAAGGUUCUUCCUUUCCCCUGGCUCCUUCUCCCUGCCCUAUUGCUGCUAGAGGUGGAAGGUGACUGCUGGUGCAAAGGUCCCUGCUUAGUUGCAAGCAACUUCAAACUUUUUUUCCUCAGGAAAACGCUUGAAAUAUGUUGGGGCCUCCCAGCCAGCCGUCAUACAGGGUUUGGCAGUGUUUGGGUUGGGUGGUCUUGUCUUUCUGCAAAUCUCUAGCUUGAGAGUCCAGCAGCAAUAGCUGGGCUGGGAGCAGAAGGUCUAGGGCUCCAAGUAGCAGCCUUCCCCACCCCUGCUCUGCCAGUCUUACACAUCAGUCCUGCAAGCUGCUUCAUGCAGGCAAACCUUUGCUCCUGUGCCCAGCCCUGCUGACUUAAGGGGCCUGCUCCAAGGAAGUACAGUGAAUUGGGGGAGCCUGAACAGACAACAUUCAUGAAUUCAAGUUCUUUCUUCUUGCUUUUCCACUUUUUUCUCCCUCCACUCAGGUUUUCUCUUUUAAUUUCCAACUCACUCCCUACCACCACCAUGCCACCAUUUACAUCGCCCCCAUUCGCAUGCAUGCCCCUUAUCAGCUUGUACCAGGUGGUGUACCCACACAUGAACAUUCCUACCUCAUUUGUCUGAUUUCUGUCUCCUGUACUCUCAUUCUCUAUGCUUCCUUCUUUGAAAAGCCACAUCUUUUUCUCAUCUUCCACUAACAAAUGCAGGAAUCAUAUCAGGAUCUGAAUCCCAGACCUCAUCUUUCCUUUCUCAUUCUUCCAUAUAUGUCCCUAUGAAGUGUUUGGGGAGUAACCUGCCCUCGGCAUCAUUCCCUUUCUCUGUUUCAGGUCUGGUCACUCAGAGCACCAACAAUGCCAUCCAAUAAGUCUGUCUCAGAUGCCCCAAUCUUCCAGUUCACAAACUGCCGGAUAUUGAGAAAUAGCCAACUGCAGAGGGAGGACCUGUGGGUGAGAGAAGGGAAGAUCCUCAACCCAGAAAAGCUCUUCUUCGAUGAGAAGGGGUUUGCUGAUAUUCAGCUGGAUUGUAAGGAUAGCAUCAUUGCUCCCGGAUUUAUAGAUGUGCAGAUCAAUGGAGGCUUUGGGGUGGAUUUCUCCCUGGCUACUGAUGACUUCAAAUCAGGGAUCAACCUGGUUAGUCAGAAGAUUCUCUCCCAUGGAGUGACCUCCUUCUGCCCCACCCUGGUGACCUCCCCACCAUCAGUCUACCACAAGGUUCUUCCUCAGAUCAGCGUAAGAAAUGGAGGAGCCCACGGAGCAGGUGUCCUGGGAGCCCAUCUGGAGGGGCCUUUUAUAAGUAGGGAGAAGAAGGGGGCUCAUCCAGAGCACUGCCUUCGCACCUUUGAGUCAGGAGCCUUCCAGGACUUGCUUGCCACCUAUGGGGCCCUGGACUGCAUCCGGAUUGUCACUCUGGCCCCCGAGAUGAAGAGGAGUGGUGAGGUGAUCGAGGAACUCACUAAACGAGGCAUCUGUGUCUCACUAGGUCACUCUGUGGCUAAUCUCUCUCAGGCAGAGGAAGCUGUCCAGCAUGGUGCUACCUUUAUCACUCACUUGUUCAAUGCCAUGUUACCCUUCCACCAUCGAGACCCUGGGAUUGUUGGGCUGCUAACAAGUGACAAGAUCCCCACCGGGCGGAGGGUGUUCUAUGGCAUGAUAUCAGAUGGCAUCCACACCAACCCCGCUGCUCUGAGGAUCGCACAUCGUGCCCAUCCCAAAGGCAUGGUGCUGGUGACAGAUGCCAUUGCUGGAAUGGGGCUGGCUCCAGGAAGGCACACCCUGGGCCAGCAGGUGAUUGAGAUAGAUGGGCUGAACACCUACAUUGCAGGGACAAAAACCCUGAGUGGCAGCGUAGCAACCAUGGAUACAUGUGUUCGACACUUCCUAGAAGCUACAGGGUGCACAGUGGAGACAGCACUGGAGGCUGCGUCUCUCCACCCAGCCCAACUCCUAGGAAUUGAGCACAAAAAGGGGACCCUGGACUAUGAUUCAGAUGCAGAUUUCCUGAUGCUGGAUGACAGCCUGCAUGUCCAAGCCACAUACAUCGCAGGUGAGCAAGUCUGGAGGCAGGACUCCUUUACUAUAUGAAACCAGAGAAUCGCCUGGCCUUGGCUUUGCUCCCCACAGCCCUAGUGCCAACCGUUGGCUCUUCCAGGUGCCUUGGUCACUGGGCCCUGGCAGCUGCAUCGCCCUCUCUCUCCAAAUGCAACAUUUUUUUAAAGACCUAUUUGGGGCUUUCCUUGAAGGAAUCUAGCACCAAAGAGCUGUUCAUUCUAGAGCAGCUGCUGCUUCCAGUCUCCAGCCAUGCCUGCAACGAGUUCAUCAGUGCUUUGCUGACAAAGGUGAGCAUGGCAGGGAUCAUCACACAGUGGAGCAGCUGGAAAGAUGGGGCAGCUGUCCUUCCUGGAACACCUGAGCCGAGUUCCAUAGUGGCUGCCAGCACUGUCCUGUGCCAGUCUGAGACUGCACAGCCCUGUGUACUUAUCAGUCAGAUCCAGCGCACACACCUGAUCCCAGGAGCUAAAGCCAUUUCUGUCCCUCACACUGCCUUGAUCUCUCCCUGGGGGCAGUCCUCCACACAAGAGCACCUGGUUCCUAAUGUACAGCUCUUUUAUAAAAGUGUCUCUGCCCAGUGUAAAACUGCUCUGGUGGAAGCUCAGGAGUGCGUUGUGAGCCUGGGGAGGAGACGGUGCCUCUGCCCUGCACUGUCAUCCAGGGGCUCCAAGGUCCCAUCACACUUCUGCUCACCUGUUACCCAGAGCAGUACCUCCACCCAUGCACUUUUGGUCUUGGGACAGAUGCAGUCUCUAGGGUGUGACUCUGCAGGGCAGGUUUCUCCCUGGGAGCAGGCCUCAACGCUGUACUCCAAAUCCGAAAAAACAAGACAUCCCUGGCCCCUUGUGCCUUCCUUCUGCUUGAGCAUUGAGUCUAUUUCAGGUGGCCUCUGUUGCCUUCAUAGACAACUUCCUGCAAGAGAAAGCAAUGUUCUUAAGCCAUACACACAUGCAAAAUGGAUCUGACAGGGUCUGAUAUAUAUGCCCAUCAGUAUCUUAACAUACAGCUUCCCUAGAGGAUUUUGCAUUGCCUCUUAGUUUCCUGGUGCCAGCUAGGAGAUGCUUUUGCUGUCCAGCAUGUAUCUCUGCCAUUUCCAACACAAUUGCAAGCCACUGUGCGUCUCAGGAUGCUGGGGUCUUUCAUGGUUUAUACCCCAGAGAGUCUCUCUGAAAUUAGGCCCUUUUAAGAUGGUUGUUCAUCUAUUCAUUAUUCCCAUAUUCAUUAUCAUCCCCUCAAGGAUUUGUCAAACAGCUUUCUGCCACUUAACAGCUCUCCCUAAUUAAGGCUGUGAAAUAAUUUCCAGCCCAAGUCUGAUCUUGAUUUAGAAUUUAUGGCCAAGAAAAUGUGUCUGAAAUGCCUUGUGACUAAGGUCAGAAAUGAUGCCCAAAAAACUUCUGGUCCAUCAGAAUUUUGUUAGAGAUGAGACUUAAAGAAAUGUGAUGAGCCUUACCAAGUUUAAAGGUGAUAUAGAACCCCUAAAGUCCGAAAGAGUUCAGUUGGGUUUUUUCUUCCAUGUAAAAGCUUCCAGUACCUUUUUUAAACCUGUGAGAACAAUGCUUGAAAGAGCCUUCAGGACAAAUAUAACCCCUGCUGGAAUGACUGACAGCCCUGGAAAAUGUCUAGCAUCUGGUGCCUAGGUCAGCAGAAACUAAACCCUCCAAGACUGCAACAUUUGAAAGAGACAUCAAAUAUCGUGCUGUGAAAUAUUACUUAAUCUGGCACUACAGGACUCACUAACAGAACUUCUGACAACCAUGGGGUUGCUGCCCAAAAAUCAAGGGAAUGCUAGGACAAAAACUAUUCCAGACAGACCUUCAUUUUAAAAAGGCAUUUCGCUUAAUCUCUUAGUGUUCUUUUUUUCCCCUACCCAAAAAACUAAAUGCUCAAAAGGAAAUCUGCUUACAGCAUGGUUGGGAUAGCUUGUAUAAAGGUAUGUUUGAACCUGCAUAUUGGAUAAGUAUUGUUGAAACUCGCCCAUGCCUUCUGUUCCACCUAUGUUCGUGGUAUGUCAUACCAAAAUGGCACAUUUAACAGCUGGAUUUAAGGUUGUACGUUGCAACUCCUUUGUGGUGCACUGGAUAGAGGGUAGUUUGUUGAACUGGAGAUUAAUAUAUUCCAAAUGAUGUGGUGGGAUUUGGUAUUUGACAGUGGAGGGCAGCAUUAGGUUAGGUGUGGACAUUGCCUUCACCUAGGACUUGUGUUUAGGGUCCGUGUGAGGAAAACCCAUUGGAAAACUGAACAAGUGGCUUUUUUUUUUCCCUUUGGCGAGGGUGAGUGGGAGGAACAAGCAGCAGAGGCGCAGGCGCUCUCCUGGAGUUAGGCCUCUGCUUGGCAAACGUUUCUGCGCUGCUUUAAUUUUAAGCACGGAAGGAAGCCGUCUGGGAUUCCCCAUUCACCGCAGCGGAGCGAAGGGGCAGAGCUGCCUGCUGGCCGUCGGGCCCGGCUUAGCUGCUCUGCCAUCUCGGCGCUGCGGGAAUAAGGUUAUGUAGGAGGAUUCCAGAGCUGAAGGUCAGCCCAGCCAACUUUCCCAAUGGAGGAGUCAGAUGAACAGCUUCGAAGAGAAGUGGACUGGUGUGUGGAGCAGCUGGAACUAGGCCUGAAGAUGCAGAAAUCCACUCCAAAGCAAGUUGAUGAGGCCCUGCGUGCCAUCAGGACACUGCAC